GAUGAACGCUGGCGGCGUGCCUAAUACAUGCAAGUCGAGCGAACAGACGAGGAGCUUGCUCCUCUGACGUUAGCGGCGGACGGGUGAGUAACACGUGGAUAACCUACCUAUAAGACUGGGAUAACUUCGGGAAACCGGAGCUAAUACCGGAUAAUAUAUUGAACCGCAUGGUUCAAUAGUGAAAGACGGUUUUGCUGUCACUUAUAGAUGGAUCCGCGCCGCAUUAGCUAGUUGGUAAGGUAACGGCUUACCAAGGCAACGAUGCGUAGCCGACCUGAGAGGGUGAUCGGCCACACUGGAACUGAGACACGGUCCAGACUCCGAGGGGAGGCAGCAGUAGGGAAUCUUCCGCAAUGGGCGAAAGCCUGACGGAGCAACGCCGCGUGAGUGAUGAAGGUCUUCGGAUCGUAAAACUCUGUUAUUAGGGAAGAACAAAUGUGUAAGUAACGAUGCACGUCUUGACGGUACCUAAGCAGAAAGCCACGGCUAACUACGU
rnacentral:rRNA from 1 species